GACGUAGGGCGCGAGCGUUGUCCGGAUUCAUUGGGCGUAAAGAGCUCGUAGGCGGCUUGGCAAGUCGGGUGUGAAAACUCCAGGCUCAACCUGGAGACGCCACCCGAUACUGCCAUGGCUAGAGUCCGGUAGGGGACCACGGAAUUCCUGGUGUAGCGGUGAAAUGCGCAGAUAUCAGGAGGAACACCGGUGGCGAAGGCGGUGGUCUGGGCCGGCACUGACGCUGAGGAGCGAAAGCGUGGGGAGCGAACAGG
rnacentral:rRNA from 1 species